AACUAGUUCGAAUUCGUUUUUGAUUGACAUCUUUUAUCUAAUUACCAAAGGAUUGAUUGAAACUUAUGGAAAAAAUUCUUUUUCUAAUCAAUACCCUUGACAUACAAGGUUGUAACCAAUUUGUAUAUUUUUUAAGUUAUGCCUGUCAACCAAACAAUUUGCAGUGAAACAGCCACGUUUUUUUCUAUUUACGUCUGAAUAAGCCUCAAAGGCAUUUCAAAUCCUAUAUCCUAUAUAAUAAUAAAAAAGUCACUGGAGUAUGUGAGGCCUCCAAAACUCAAAUCCAGUAAUUUUAUUGACUCACUCUAAAAACCAGUUCUCACUUUUUUUAAAAUUUUAAAUUAAUAAAAAUCAUACAGCAUUUUCGUUCAAAAUUAGGGAGUUAACUAGGGGGAAAAAAAAAACUACCUCAAUUCAUUAACUGCCACCCAUUUUCAUACUUCAUAAUAAGAUUAAAGAAAAACUUACUCCCUCCUAUUAAUCACACACGGAGUAUGUUUGACUCAAAUUAAAUGUCUUUUUCUCCUAUUAAUACUUUUCUUUGAGGAAAUUUCUCUUCUUAAUACUUAUCCCAUAUAAAAUUAAUACUUAUCCUAUAUAAAAUUAAAAUGUCGAUACUCAUCAUUCUCCAUCACAUACACUUCACAGUUACCGACCAUGGGAGGCUUCAUCGACAAGGUUCCAUGGCGGAGGGGAUCGAUUGGUUUGUUAUUCAAGGUUUUUAUCAUUAUUUUCAGUCUAUUUUAUAUAAGAAGUAAUUUAAUUUUUUCAAUUUAUGGUUUUUUGCUGCGUAUUUAUGUUAAAUUACUAUUAUAUAUUUGUAUACAUGUAUGUAGUUAUUUAGUUUGUUGGAAGAACUAGGCAAGUAGGCAACGCAACCACCAACAUUGGCAUCAUAGUGACAUCAAUCUCUUCCAGAAAGGUGAAAGGGAUUAUAUGGUGUGAUCUCGAUUCAGUAGAAGGAAAUUUAUAUGGGUGGAAGAUUCUUCGAACAUCGAUAGUGCCGGAAAAUGUCGAAUGUUAGUGUGAGACAUUUUAGACCCUAUAAGUCCCUGAAGGAAGUUUCUGAUGAAGGUAUUACAUACUCACCAGUGUGCCUGUAGCAACUCAAACAAAUAAUCAUACGUUCGAAAAGUGUCGGAUUAUCCACAACCUGACAUGGGUGUGAAAUAUUUAAACAUUUUAUAUUGAGCUACAAUCAUGGAACUUUUUACAAAAUAGCAAAGUCGGACAAUCAAACACGUACUUGUGUCCGAUAUGAGUACCCGAGUCCGAGUAACAUGUAUGACUUUGACAUCCAAAGAACCGGAGGGUGGAGAUUUAGCUUUUGACAAUUUGACAGGACAUCUUCAACGAAGUGGGAGUAGAAGGUUGUACAUGUUUGUGGAGCCUAAUUAAGUGCCUUUUAUUGGCAUACAUAUAGAUUACAGAAUGGAUUGCUUUCUAUCUUUGUCCCUUGUAUUUUCAUCUUAUCUUUUUCUUAUACUCUAAAAAGCUUUAGCAUUAAACUAGCCUGAGUAGCGCGCUAACGUUUAUAACAUAACAAUGUAAUACAAUUAAUGUUAAUCCAGA